GUGGAUUAGAUACCCUGGUAGUCCACGCCCUAAACGAUGUCAACUAGGUGUUGGGUGGGUAAAACCAUUUAGUACCGGAGCUAACGCGUGAAGUUGACCGCCUGGGGAGUACGGCCGCAAGGUUAAAACUCAAAGGAAUUGACGGGGACCCGCACAAGCGGUGGAUGAUGUGGAUUAAUUCGAUGCAACGCGAAAAACCUUACCUACCCUUGACAUGUUCAGAAGUCUUGAGAGAUUGAGAUGUGCCCGAAAGGGAACUGGAACACAGGUGCUGCAUGGCCGUCGACAACU
rnacentral:rRNA from 1 species